CAUGAGUAGUUGUGAAUAGUGGUGCUUGGACUGGAGGAAGGCAAGCACAAGUGACAGACAGGCAGGGAGACUGAAGAAGAGGAGAAAGGAGGAAGAAGCAGUUGAACGCUGGGGAGGAGGAGGAGGUGUCCGGCUGACCAUCCUGGAUCCAGCAUCUCGGGCUCCACAACCAGGCCUCCUGCAUGCAAAUGUGGAACCUGCAGACAAGGGAGACACCAAGGGGCAUUUUAUACCAACACCAAAUGAGUCCCCAUUGGGCAUGACCUUGACAGAAAUGCAUGGGUCAAGCUGACCAGACCACAAUCUGGAUAUGGAUGCUUCAAAACCACAUUGAAUAAGACAAACAUCUUGGACAGCCUCCUGUGUGAAUGUGGUGUCCACAAUCAGUGAAGCACUUAAUUGGAAGCUGCAGUCCUUACAAAUGCCCAGACAAGACUCAAUACACCAAUGAGGAUUCCUGCCACAAAUACUGCACAGGAUCCAUUUGGAGAUGCCUUCUAUACUUCAGCAGCUGUGUUUAAAAGUGGACAUUGCUUGUACAUUCAAAGUGCAUAAUUUAUCUUCUUUCUCAUGCUUUGCUCUCAGAGGGUUUAAUAUUAAUUAACUCCCAGUUCUGCCACCUAUCUACUUAAGUGGCUUCUCACAACCAUUAAUUAAUUUUCACAACACCCUGGUGAGGUAGGGAUGCUUUUAUUCCUAUACUAUGGAUAAGAAAUUGAGACACAGUAACACAAAGUGUGUGUCUCUAGGUCAUGCCAGAAGCCUGCAGUAAGAUGGGAACUGAAACCCAGUGUCCAGAGACCUAGUUCUGUGCCUAAACCACUCUCACUGAGGGCUGGAAAGAGUAGAGGGGGAGCAAGGAUUUUACUGGCAUACCAAAAGCUGGAUAAGAUGGUGACAGGAAAGAGCAAAAGUGAGUUGCUAAGUAGCAUUUGUUAUGAGAGGGUACCAGCAUGCAGCAAUGUGGUUUAAAAAAUGUGACUCUGAGUGUGUGUGAAUAUACAAAACAUAUAUGGAAGGUAUGCCUCAGAUACCCAGAGAGAUCAGAUGGUACUAGGGAGAGAAGGAAUAGGUCAGUGGCAGCUCCUCUCUGCAGAGAGCUACAACAUCUGCCCAAAAAUAGUCUGCCACCCCUGAUGCCAAGAGCAGCAAACCUUUGAUAAACAGUUUAAAAAUAACCCCAGUGGGAAAGACGUCCCAUCUCCCUCCCUGGGAAUCUUAUUUGUGUUGGAGCCUGUGUUUGUCUUCCAAUACCCCUGCCAGCUUUCCGACCAUCACUAUUGCUCAUGUGACUCUCAUUGCCAAGGAGGCUGGUGCCAGAGAGGACAUGGGCAGUCCCAAGGGAGGAGAGAGAUGGUUGAUUAUUUUUGCUACUGUGGCAAGGGUUUGAAAUGGGCAGGAGCAGGGCUGGGGAGGAAGCCAGCCUGGGAUGUGCCAGAAGGGAUAAAAGAUGUGUUUUAGCUCUUAGUGCUAUGGCUUCAUGCCCUCCUGCUGACACAAGGGAGCAGAUUGUGUAAGUGUCACAUAAAGAGGAAGGUGCAAACUGGUUUACUGCAGGAAACAGAAGUUGGACAUGCUGAGAGCUGGCAUGUUCCAAUAAGCCACAAUGUUCCCUCUCUCUAGGGCAGCCAGCUCCUCAUGUCAGCUAGUCCUGGGAGGCAGGGUGGGGCAAAGGUCGAGUCAAGAAACGUGUUCUUAACUCUGCUCCUGGUUUGCUAUGAGUCUCUUCUCCUCCCUUUCUUCUUCUGGACAAAGGGAUAACAACAUCAGUCCCCUUUUGUAAAGUGCUGUGGGAUCUCAACACAGGAGCUCAGCCAUAUUUCCUGCUGGGGGCGUAGGUCUAGCUGGGGACCAAGUCAUUCUCUGAGUGGGUUUCCUCCAUGUGCCUCCAUGUUAUCAUGGGAAUACACUUGUGGAGCUAUAUAAAGAUACUGUGGCUCACUGCCAUGGUACACACAUGCCCUUUUUGGUUCCUGAUAUGGGUGCUGUGUUGCCCCCCAAUGCAGCCUGCCCUGUCAAGCUACCUUGGGACUAUCAGCAUGUGGGAGGCCACUGGGCUGCAUUGGUGGGCAGCUGAGUGCUUGGGGGAAGCGGAGGCAAUCUGUGUCCUAGAGCAGCUACUCCAACCUGGCGAUCGUUGAAGACUGCUUGCACUUCUGCUGCCAAGUGCAUGAGCCAGAGAAGGGUAAUUAAGGUGGAAGCAAAGAAGGAGCCCCUUUUAAUGGCCACCAAAGCAGCCGCUCCGGGGAACUGGCAGGGCUCUGUGCUGUAAGGUUAUUAGAGUUCUCAUUUGUAUUGUCCUUGGAAGAGGUUCUUCAGGGCCGCUGGCUCAGAGCACAGAAAUGUAAGUGAGAUCUUCUUUGAUGUGUUUGGGGAGAGCCAUUCCCCAUUCUUCCACUGCUGUUCACUAUUGAUAUUAUUUCUGUAUUUUUCCCAUAGCAACAGGGAGUAAGACCCCAGAAGCAGGACCCUAGCGGGCUGGGUUGUUUUACCCACCUGGCUUUGGGCCUGAGGAACUAACCUUCCUUCUUAAAACAAGAUGCAAUGGGUAAGUGCAGCAGAUGACACAAGGAAAAGAGCCUCUGAGGUAGGUUGUUGACAUUGUUCCUGUUUUAUCACUGUUGGCAGCCAUUGAUCUUAGGAGACCAUGGAGAUUGCGCAUUUGGUGGGUUACCAGGUACCACCACAGCUUCUUGAGUGGCUGAGGAGUCUGAUGCAUGACAAGCAGACCCUCCAGGAAGUUGCACAUAUAAAGACAGGUGAGCUUGCACUAGCAUGCCAAGUACCAUUUUGUUUUGCCUGCCUCUGACACCUCUUCUCUAGCUCAUCAUUGACCCACUCCAUCUUGAAGCACUGCAGGCCCUGCUUCAUGGUGACUUUCCACUUGCAGCAGUCUGAAGUGAUCGAUUCCCAUUUAGAUGUGGGGAAACUGAGGCAUGCGCAGAAAUUAAGCAGCCAGCUCUUGGUCAUACAGAGCAAGGGGUAGAACCCAGGAUUUCCCCUCCAAGGCUUAUACUUACCAAACAGGCAGUGAUGCUUCAGGUACUUCUUUUCUAUCUCCAUUUACUGCCUGAUGAACAGGGAUUCUGGUUUUCCCUGAUAAAGAAAUUGCAAAUUCUCUGAUUAAAAAUGGCAAAUUCUCUGCUAAAAACCCCAAACUCCACAAUGAAAGGCCACUAUAUAUACAGGUAUCAGUUGAACAUAACAUUUACUUGAUAUAGUUACCAUUUUAAAGCAAUUUGGAAGCCUACCAGUUUCUUAAUCACUGUAAUAAAAUACAUUCUAAAUACCUAUAAAUGUUGGUAUUUGAUUUUGGGUUUUUUAUCAUGGAAAAUCAGAGCUCCCCCUACCCCCUUCACUCACAGAAAGCAGGUCCAGGCCCCUCACUCCCAACCCACAGCCUCCCCAGCCCUGCUGGUGCCCCUCAUUCCCCCUACAGCCCCCUGCCCUGCUGGAACUCUGCCAGCCUGCAGAAAGCUCUUUGCAAAAGUACAGAAUCCACAGGUUUCUCUGUUAAAAUGAUAAAUCUGCAUUUUCGUCAGGUAAAGGGGGAAAUCCAUGUUUUUCUCCAUCUUUCCAUGGGAAAAAGAAAACCUGGAUCCCUGCUGAUGAAUCACUUCAAAUGAGGAUGCAAUUAGUAGUCACAGAACUACAGACAUAGGAGAUGGAGAUGUUCCAGGCCAGAGGAGUGCCGUUCUAUCCAUGCCAGUCUCUUCUUUUCACAGUAAAAGCGGGGAUCGACGGGAGCCACUUCCAUGUAGUGAUCCCUGGAAAUGUCUCUGAUAGCCAAGAGCUCCUGAAUCAACAAAAAUGCCAAAGUGCACAAAGAUAAAGAUACAGACACCUUUUUUGUCAUACGAAAGAACAGUAAAAGCAGUGGGGUUCCUUCCACUUCUUCUACCAUUAGAGAGAUCUCACCAUCAUGGCAAGUUUUGUAAUAUUCAGCCCAUUCUCCUCUUAUUGUUUUUACCUCUGACUCCUAGUUCUACUUCUUGGAUUGUCUUUGGCAAGCCCCCAACCUCUAGGGAGAUGGCAUUUUCCCUGUCUCCCUCUCUCUGUUGCUUCUUCCUUCCCUCUUUUCCUGAUUUUCCCUUCCCAUCUUGCUCCCAAUCAGCUCUCCAUGCAGCCUUCAGAACAUGACCCUGCAGGCAUUUCACCACUGUGUCCUGCAGGGACUGUAGCAGCAGUGACGGUGGCAGAGGAGAGAGGUGGAGGUUGCAUCAUGUAAGCUGGCCUGUGGAAGGGGGAGAGGGGCUGAUGGAACUCACUGUCCUUAAAGGGUCUGAGGUAUAUGUGAGUCAAGAGAGAGGUUGCUGAUCAGUUUGCAAGCUAUUUCUUGGCAAAUGAGAGGCAUGAGUAUAAUCAAUGCAUUGAUGUCAAUCAGUUCAGUCUUUAGCAGUCAAGAUUGCCCUGAUACCCUACACUGUCAACUGAUCCUGCUGCUGGUUCACACCUUUCUCAGUUAUGUGCAUCCGUUCAUCCAUGCUGCCAUCUGCAGCGUCCCAUGAUGUGCUAUGGUAGCAACUGGGAGCAGCCUUGUAGUCUCCAGGGAGGAAGCAUCCCAGACAAAGGAGCAUUUCCCCUUAGGUCUGCCAUCUGUUUGUGCUGUUUCUGCUGCUCCUGCUUUUCCAUCUCCUGUUGUUGUCAUGGGAUUUCAAAGUACGGAGAUCCUUGCAGCAGACUCUUCUGCUAUUUAGGGUGGUCCUGGGUGAUAGUCUCCUACAAGCUGAUGUUGAUGUUGCAUUUUUUUCAAGCUGUCCUUGAGGACAUCCUUGAAGUGCUUUAUCUACCUUCCUUGUGAGUGUAUGACUUGGGCAUGUUGCCUUGACUGGGAGAAAUAAAACUUGCUUCUGGAGUCUGGAGUUGGACAUCCAGAUGAUGUAGCUGGCCUAGUGAAGUUAAUGUUAGAUGAUCAUUGCCUCAAUGUUCAUGGUGUUCGCCUGUGUCUGAGAGAACCAUUUAUAGCCUAAAGGCAAGUGACUGGUUUCACUGAGUUCAUAGCAGGUGUCCCUUCAUUCAUCUUUUUUGGGCUGCCUGAUUCCAGCUGAACCAAUGCAAAGCUGUCUCUUGCUUCAAGGAGGGAGGAAGGUGCUGCCUGAUUCAUGACAGUGUGCUUGGCACCCAGAGUGCCAUGAUUAACUUAAUGAUUAUCUAUGCAGAAACCAUCAUGAACACCUGGUGUGUAUACUGCUAGAAGGAUUUGACAAACAGCUCACCAUAUCUUGGGAAUGCUGACUUUUUAGCAAGUCACUUACUUUGGACAACGAAGGCAGACUUCUUAGUUCCCCCUCUGCGUACCACCCCCCUCCCCAAGACAUUUAGUUCACACUGUAAAUACUUGCAGAGGUUAAAUGCAUGCAAACAGAAACCCAAGCCCUUGACAUUUUUGUGAAAAUAUUUCUAUUGCUUUUAGAGCCUGUAAAACUUUUAUUUACAAAACCGACAUGUUGACCUUAAAGUACCUGACAACUACUCUGAGCCUUUGCCAACAGCAUUGCUGCUUUUGAGCUGCUCCAAACAGGAAAAAUGUUCUUGGAAAAGCUCUUAGAAGCUCAGAAAUGGGUCACUCAAAGAGUAAUCAUAACCCAAAGCUCAGAACUGUUCAUUCCAGCUUUCUUAUUCUUCCUCCAGCAAAUGAUGGACUCUGGGGUCAGGAGGAGAGAAUGGAUGUCAACACAUGGCAGCAAAAGCCCAGUUGUGGACACUUAUGUACUUCAGGCAAGCCUGACCUGGUGUCCAAGGCAAAAGACAGACUGUAAAGUCCUGCCUAAUGUGUCACUCAACAUACAGAAACCCCAAGAGGAAUUGUGAGCUCAUGUGAACAUGUCAGUGAUAUGUAGUAUUAGUACCUUCCAUUUAUUGCCAGGCAAAGCCCUCUAUUUAUCAAUAAUCUCAUCUCCAUAGAUAAUAUUUAUUUUCUGAUUUGGUAGCUACAGACAUGGUCAUGGAAACCAGUAUUUGCUACAGAAUUGGGCUCCAGAAUCCAAAGCCUCAUUAUCCAGAGUUUCAAAAUGAAGGAUUAAAAGCCAACAAUGAAAAAAAGGCAUUUUGGUUAUAAACCCUCCUGCUUCAAGGCAGGGAACAGCUUCAGACUAGGAAUGGUUGGAGAAAAGCUUUUGUGAUAAGCAGUUCUUUUCAGUCUCCCACUGCUGAAUUUAUGGACUUCUCUGAAACAACUGGUACUAGCCACUGUUGGAGACAGAAUACUGGAGUCUAAGGGUUAGAUUUGAUUCCAAAGUGCAAGCCUAUUUCACCUUGCAUGAGUCUUUGAAAAUUGGUUAUUGUGCCUACUUUUGUAAAAUGCCUUCAUCUUAACUUUCAGAUUGAAUUAUAAAAAGCAGUGAGGAAAAGGGGUUCCCUCUCACCUCUUAUAUGAAUGAAUUUUUCUGGCAUUUGAACUGGAAUAGAAUAAUUUAUCCAUCAAGUUUCAAUUAGGUGUCUAAUAGCUGGAAUAGUGCCUGUCUUCUAGUCUGAUUAAAUAUGGUCAUUCCUAUCUUGCUCAUUUUCAAUGUAAAAAAUAUUUCUAACCCCAUGGCAAUGAUGAAGGCCUUAAGAGCAUGAAACUAUUGUAAAAAAGAAACUUCCACAUUCUUCUGAGUCUGUAGAAAUCCUGAAACAAGACUUGUGAACUGUUCAACUCUAAACAUGGUAAUGACAAUUACAGUGAUGACAUUAUUAAAAUUGCUUUGCUGGUCCUUU